rnacentral:tRNA from 1 species
GGGGGUAUAGCUCAGCGGUAGAGCAUUUGACUGCAGAUCAAGAGGUCCCCGGUUCUAAAUCCAGGUGGAGCAUCUGACUGCAGAUCAAGAGGUCCCUGGUUCAAAUCCAGGUGCCCCCU